rnacentral:rRNA from 1 species
CGGAACGGACGCUAAAUACCGCAUACGUCCUACGGGAGAAAGCUGGGGACCUUCGGGCCUUGCGCUAUCAGAUGAGCCUAGGUCGGAUUAGCUAGUUGGUGAGGUAAUGGCUCACCAAGGCUACGAUCCGUAACUGGUCUGAGAGGAUGAUCAGUCACACUGGAACUGAGACACGGUCCAGACUCCUACGGGAGGCAGCAGUGGGGAAUAUUGGACAAUGGGCGAAAGCCUGAUCCAGCCAUGCCGCGUGUGUGAAGAAGGUCUUCGGAUUGUAAAGCACUUUAAGUUGGGAGGAAGGGCAUUAACCUAAUACGUUAGUGUUUUGACGUUACCGACAGAAUAAGCACCGGCUAACUCUGUGCCAGCAGCCGCGGUAAUACAGAGGGUGCAAGCGUUAAUCGGAAUUACUGGGCGUAAAGCGCGCGUAGGUGGUUUGUUAAGUUGAAUGUGAAAUCCCCGGGCUCAACCUGGGAACUGCAUCCAAAACUGGCAAGCUAGAGUAUGGUAGAGGGUAGUGGAAUUUCCCUGUGUAGCGGUGAAAUGCGUAGAUAUAGGANAGGAACACCAGUNGGNCGNAAGGCGACUACCUGGACUGAUACUGACACUGAGGUGCGAAAGCGUGGGGNAGCAAANCAGGAUUAGAUACCCUGGUAGUCCACGCCGUAAACGAUNGUCAACUAGCCGUUGGGAGUCUUNGAANCUNCUUAGUNGGCNGCAGCUNAACGCAUUNAAGUUGACCNGCCUGGGGNANGUACGGCCGCAAGGNUUAAAACNUCAAANUGAAUUNGACGGGNGGCCCGCACAAGCNGGUNGGANGCAUGNUGGUUUNAAUUNCGNAANGCAACGNCGAAGAACCNUUANCCAGGNCNCUUGACANUCCAAUGNAACNUUUCNUAGANGAUANGAUUGGNUNGCCNUUCNGGGAANCUCNUGNAUACAGGUGCUGCAUGGCUGUCGUCAGCUCGUGUUGUGAGAUGUUGGGUUAAGUCCCGCAACGAGCGCAACCCCUAUCCUUAGUUGCUAGCAGGUAAUGCUGAGAACUCUAAGGAGACUGCCGGUGAUAAACCGGAGGAAGGUGGGGACGACGUCAAGUCAUCAUGGCCCUUACGUGUAGGGCUACACACGUGCUACAAAUGGCGCAUACAGAGUGCUGCGAACUCGCGAGAGUAAGCGAAUCACUUAAAGUGCGUCGUAGUCCGGAUUGGAGUCUGCAACUCGACUCCAUGAAGUCGGAAUCGCUAGUAAAUCGCGUAUCAGAAUGACCGCGGUGAAUACGUUCCCGGGCCUUGUACACACCGCCCGUCACACCAUGGGAGUGGGUUGCUCCAGAAAGUAGAUAGUCUAAACCCUUCGGGAGGACGUUUUACCACGGAAUUGAUUUCUGGACCUG